rnacentral:rRNA from 1 species
GAUUGAACUGAAGAGUUUGAUCCUGGCUCAGAUUGAACGCUGGCGGCAUGCUUUACACAUGCAAGUCGAACGGUAACGCGGACUUCGGUCUGGCG